AAGGCCUUAAGUUAAAAUAAACUAAUAACCUUCAAAGCUAUAAAUAAAGGGGUUCCUUUAGGCCUUG
rnacentral:tRNA from 1 species